CAGCCGCCACGGGAAUACGUAGGGUGCAAGCGUUAAUCGGAAUUACUGGGCGUAAAGCGUGCGCAGGCGGUUAUAUAAGACAGAUGUGAAAUCCCCGGGCUCAACCUGGGAACUGCAUUUGUGACUGUAUAGCUAGAGUACGGCAGAGGGGGAUGGAAUUCCGCGUGUAGCAGUGAAAUGCGUAGAUAUGCGGAGGAACACCGAUGGCGAAGGCAAUCCCCUGGGCCUGUACUGACGCUCAUGCACUAAAGCGUGGGGAGCAAACAGGAUUAGAUACCCGCGUAGUCCCUGUCUCUUAUAC
rnacentral:rRNA from 1 species